AGUUUCUACAAAUUAUAUCCCAGAAAAGCUACGUGACGUAUUUACUGUGGCAGCUGGCAGCAGCAGUGUUGAAGAGUGAGUCACUUUACGACGAUUUUCCUUUACGAAGCACGUAAACAAGAAAAUGAAGUGGUCCGUCGUCUCAUCGCCAGCGCUACUGCUCCUGUAUUUGGUGACUCUCUCUUCUGCUGAGGAAAGUAAAGGGAAGACACCAGUCGACCUGAAGGUUCCAUUAACCUCGACUUUGGACACUGCAUCAUUAAAUGGUACAAAAUGGAAAAAAUGCCCGGAUGGAAUGAUAUGCUGGAGUACUUUCACGUGUUGUCCAUGGAGGAGUCCUCGGAUGUAUUCAUGUUGUCCUCUAACAAAUGCUGUUUGUUGCCCUGACCUUAAACAUUGUUGUCCGGAAGGGCAAUCUUGUUCAGCUGAUUUAAAGUGUAUACCUGAGCACAGAUUUCAUUAAUAUCGCUGAAGGAAUACGAUGUUUCGGCAUUUAUUGUCGUUGGCUGAAUACAAAGCCAAUUCCUCUUUACCAUGACAAUCAGUCGGAUAAAAUUAUAUGGCGUUGGUAAUAUUUAAUACCAGGAAAUAAAAAAGUAUACUUAAAAAAGAAAGACCGAAAAAAAUUGAAGUAUUUUGAUGCAAAUGACGUUUCGGUCAUGAAAUUCUUAAAGGUAGAACGCAGAGUCACAAAAGAAAUAGAAUCGCAAACGAUAGCACAAAAUAUCUCAUUUAUUUCGUUAACAAUUUAGAUUCUCUGAAAAGCUCUCAGUUGCACAAAUGUUUAUUUGACAACCCCAAAGCAAGCUGUCUGUAAUGUAUAUAGCCACAUAAUUCCAAAGUAUCGGAAAAAAUUCAAUUACAGAACUAAAUAUUUGGCCACAGUUAGAAAUGGGCUCAGAUCUUGGCGAGCCUUAGACUGCCUCGAGCCGCUUCCUAGCGUUUGCGAUGCGGGAUCUGCAGAAAUGAAGCACAUGAGAAAAUAGAAGAUUUAUAGUCGCUGAUUUAAAUAAUCCGCACACGUCUUUCAGAUUGACGCAGGUGGCAUUGUCAUUACAAAA